GGGUUGUGAGGUUAAGCGACUAAGCGUACACGGUGGAUGCCCUGGCAGUCAGAGGCGAUGAAGGGCGUGCUAAUCUGCGAUAAGCGCCGGUAAGGUGAUAUGAACCGUUAUAACCGGCGAUACCCGAAUGGGGAAACCCAGUGUGACUCGUCACACUAUCAUUAACUGAAUCCAUAGGUUAAUGAGGCGAACCGGGGGAACUGAAACAUCUAAGUACCCCGAGGAAAAGAAAUCAACCGAGAUUCCCCCAGUAGCGGCGAGCGAACGGGGAGGAGCCCAGAUCCUGAAUCAGCAUGUGUGUUAGUGGAAGCGUCUGGAAAGGCGCGCGAUACAGGGUGACAGCCCCGUACACAAAAACGCAUGUGCUGUGAGCUCGAUGAGUAGGGCGGGACACGUGGUAUCCUGUCUGAAUAUGGGGGGACCAUCCUCCAAGGCUAAAUACUCCUGACUGACCGAUAGUGAACCAGUACCGUGAGGGAAAGGCGAAAAGAACCCCGGCGAGGGGAGUGAAAAAGAACCUGAAACCGUGUACGUACAAGCAGUGGGAGCACAGGUUUACCUG
rnacentral:rRNA from 1 species